GAAUAUUGAUAAUUCAGGAAUUAGUACUAUGUUCACAGUCCCUGGGAACUGAAAAGACUGAUAGCUCUUUAUUUUUUUCUUGGUUUCGAAGGAAGGAAAAAAUAAAAUUGCAGAAUUCCCAUUUUUCAUGUAUGGCCAGCAUCUGAUCCCAUGAUGUUUGCCUUUGAGCAGGUUUGAGGAAUGAGAACUCCGAGUCUGACUUCAUAGAAAUUGGGAAACUAUGCAAGGCUCUGGUGACAAAAUAAUAAGGAAUGCAAUUGCUAAAACCCCAUCUCAAGCUUCAAGGUCCCCCUAGAACAUGGCGCCCACCCUCA
rnacentral:misc_RNA from 1 species